rnacentral:rRNA from 1 species
CCUACGGGAGGCAGCAGUGGGGAAUAUUGCACAAUGGAGGAAACCCUGAUGCAGCGACGCCGCGUGAGGGAGGAAGGCGCAGAGCGUCGCAGACCUCUUUUGACGGGGGACAAAAGGCUGGACUCGUCCGGUUCUGAGGGUACCCGGAGAAAAAGCAUCGGCUAACUCCGUGCCAGCAGCCGCGGUAAUACGGAGGAUGCGAGCGUUAUCCGGAGUUAUUGGGUUUAAAGGGUGCGUAGGGGGCUCUUUAAGCCGGUGGUUGAAGUGGGCGGCUCAACCCUCCCAUAGCCGUUGAAAUUGGGGGCCUUGAGUGCAGCAGAGGCGUGCGGAAUGCGCGGUGUAGCGGUGAAAUGCAUAGAUAUCGCGCAGAACCCCGAUUGCGAAGGCAGCUUGCCGUGCCGCCACUGACGCUGAGGCACGAAAGUGCGGGGAUCGAACAGGAUUAGAUACCCUUGUAGUC